rnacentral:rRNA from 1 species
UACGUAGGGGGCAAGCGUUGUCCGGAAUCAUUGGGCGUAAAGAGCGUGUAGGCGGCCCGAUAAGUCCGCUGUGAAAGUCCAGGGCUCAACCCUGGGAUGCCGGUGGAUACUGUCGGGCUCGAGUCCGGAAGAGGAGUGUGGAAUUCCUGGUGUAGCGGUGAAAUGCACAGAUAUCAGGAGGAACACCAAUGGCGAAGGCAGCACUCUGGGACGUGACUGACGCUGAGACGCGAAAGCGUGGGGAGCAAACAGG